GGGCUGGUAGGACUCACCCCCUAUCCCACCCCACAAACUCUCUCUUUCACAUUACACACACCAUGCUUCCCUAUAUAUACACAAAUAAACAAUGCAUCCCUACACACACAGAAACACACCAUGCUUCCGUUACACACAGAGAAACAUACAAUGCAUCCAUUACACACAAAGACAAUGCAUCCCUUGCACACAUACACAGAAACACACUGCUUCUCUUACACACACAGAAACACAAUGCAUAUCUUACACACACAGAAACACAAUGCAUAUCUUACACACACACACUGUCAGGUAUACCCAACAUUCAUGCUGCCGCCGGAACCCACUUCCGGGUUCACUGCGCUUAGCUCCGCCCCUUUUUUCUGACGCGGUCUUUCCACGAUACUUAGGAAGACCGCGCCAGAUUCAAAGUGCUGGAUUAUUCACUCAGGUGCGGCAGUGAGAUCAGCUGCUCUACUCGAUGCUACCGGCUCCACUUCUCAGACCUCGGCUUAUAAACGGAAUUCUACCUUCUCCUCUCUCAGACCUCGGCUUGGACAAACGGACUUCCUUUCUCUCACUACUAAACUGCAGUUUGUUAAAAGAGACUCCUUCCUCUUCCUCCAUUGGGUGAAUUAACCCUUCCAGUGCCAGAGUGCUUCUAAGUUAAGUAAAUCUUUUGUCAAGGAAAGCAAGUCAUAUCAAUUAAUUAUAGUAUUUAAUUUCUUUAAACUCUCUGUUGACAAAUAAGGAUUGCUGCUAAGGCUAAAACUUCAUUAUUAAAAUUCAAGUUGGAACUAACUUGGCAUUUUCCUGAUUAUUAUUUAAAGAUACAGUCCACUGAUUUCACUCCAAUAUAAUAGGAGGUGAAACUUACUGUUCCUGCCCUCAGAAAAUUCUGCAGUUGAGUUCCAAUUAAAGAGGUAUUACACAAAAGCAUCACACACACACACACACACUCAAUGCACCCCUUUCAGACACACACAUAUUGCAUCCCUUACAUACACAGAAACACACCUUGCAUCCCUUACUCAUACAAACACAGAUUCACACAAUGCAUCCCUUAAACACAACCAGAAACACACAAACACACUGCUUUCUAUCCCUUACACAAAAACACACUGCAUCCACUACACACACACUGCAUCACCUACACAACUUGGUAUCCCUAUACACUACAUUCCAUAAGCACACACUUUAUAUCCUCUACACUAACGUAACACAUCCCCUAAACACUGCACUCCCUGUGAGCGAACUUAUGGGUGGAACAUGUAGGUGGACUUAUGAGUGGGCCUUAUGGACAUACUCACCGUCAGGCCCUGGGGGCCCAAACCUUGAGCUGCGCAAGGGGCCCAAAAAAAAAAAAAAGGAGCUGCUUCACCUUCCCCCAGAACAUUGACUUUUGUGGCCACAGUUACAAACAGCCGCCAGAGAGCCUAUUCUACACCAGACCAGUGGAGCCAAACCGCAGCCAGAGCCCAUCAUCCUCAUCUGGUUGUAAGUAGGCAAUCUAGUAUAUUAUUCGUGGCACUAAUCUCUAGGCAUGUGCAUGGGGAAAAUAUUCGGCUUGGUUCGGCAUUUCGAAAUUCGGGACUUCGGAACUUCGGCAACUUCGGC
rnacentral:lncRNA from 1 species